AACGAACGCUGGCGGCAUGCCUAACACAUGCAAGUCGAACGAAGUCUUCGGACUUAGUGGCGCACGGGUGCGUAACGCGUGGGAAUCUGCCCUUGGGUGCGGAAUAACUUCUCGAAAGGGAUGCUAAUACCGCAUAAUGUCGUAAGACCAAAGAUUUAUCGCCCAAGGAUGAGCCCGCGUAAGAUUAGCUAGUUGGUGGGGUAAAAGCCUACCAAGGCGACGAUCUUUAGCUGGUCUGAGAGGAUGAUCAGCCACACUGGGACUGAGACACGGCCCAGACUCCUACGGGAGGCAGCAGUGGGGAAUAUUGGACAAUGGGCGAAAGCCUGAUCCAGCAAUGCCGCGUGAGUGAUGAAGGCCCUAGGGUUGUAAAGCUCUUUUGUGCGGGAAGAUAAUGACGGUACCGCAAGAAUAAGCCCCGGCUAACUUCGUGCCAGCAGCCGCGGUAAU
rnacentral:rRNA from 1 species